CAAGACUGCCGCGGGGGAGUGAGCUGGCAGGUUAACUUUAAAGGCCGGGAAAGUAUUCCAUUGUAUGGAUAUACCAUAUAUUGCUUAUCACCAUUUGAGGGACAUUUGGAUUGUUUUCCAAUUUUUGGCUAUUGUGAAUACGGCUACAAUGGACAUUUACAAUUCUCUGUGUGCACACAUCUUCAUCUCUGUUGGAUAGAUUCCUAAGAGUGGAACUGCUGGUUCGUAUGGAUUGUUUUGCAAGGAUCAAAUGAGUUCCUGCAUGAAAAUGACCUGCACAGUAAAAGGACACAAUAAGCGCUCAAUAAAUGCCAG